rnacentral:rRNA from 1 species
AUGGCGAAAUGCAGCAAGAUCCGCAACAUCGUCUGGCUCAGGCAGACGCUUCGGCGGUGGCGGUCCCGCGCCGCGGCGCGCACGGCGGCUGGCGGAGGCGCCGGCGCCGUGUCGGUGCCGGCGGGGCACGUGGCGGUGUGCGUGGGCGGCUCGUCCCGGCGGUUCGUGGUGCGCGCGGCGCACCUGAACCACCCCGUCUUCCGGGAGCUGCUCAGGCAGGCGGAGGAGGAGUACGGGUUCCCCUCCGGCGCCUCCGGCGCGUGCGGCCCCAUCGCGCUCCCCUGCGACGAGGGCCUCUUCGAGCACGUCCUCCGCCACCUCUCCUCCUCCUCGUCCGCCGCGCGGUUCUUCACCCUCGAUGACAUCAAGAGCGGCGCCUACUCGUGCUGCUGCGCGGCCGCCGGCGACGCGCUCCCGCUCCUCCGCGGCAUCUCGUCCGACAAGUUCGUCUGGUGA